rnacentral:rRNA from 1 species
CCUACGGGAGGCUGCAGUGGGGAAUAUUGGACAAUGGGGGGAACCCUGAUCCAGCCAUGCCGCGUGUGUGAAGAAGGCCCUCGGGUUGUAAAGCACUUUCAGUGAGGAAGAACGCCUGGUGGUGAAUACCCAUCAGGAAAGACAUCACUCACAGAAGAAGCACCGGCUAACUCCGUGCCAGCAGCCGCGGUAAUACGGAGGGUGCGAGCGUUAAUCGGAAUUACUGGGCGUAAAGCGCGCGUAGGUGGCUUGAUAAGCCGGUUGUGAAAGCCCCGGGCUCAACCUGGGAACGGCAUCCGGAACUGUCAAGCUAGAGUGCAGGAGAGGAAGGUAGAAUUCCCGGUGUAGCGGUGAAAUGCGUAGAGAUCGGGAGGAAUACCAGUGGCGAAGGCGGCCUUCUGGACUGACACUGACACUGAGGUGCGAAAGCGUGGGUAGCAAACAGGAUUAGAUACCCUUGUAGUC